rnacentral:lncRNA from 1 species
UGAAUUCGAAGUAAAAAUAUAUAUAAAUAUGAUCCGAUCAAAUACCCCCAUACUUAGCUUUUGUUAGUCCUCGAGCAAAACAAAGAAAACAUGAAAAAGUACUAACAUGAAAAAACAUUAGUUUCCCCCGAUGUGACCCUCAUAGAAUUUCAUUUGAGAACAAAAAUCAUCAAGAACCAUGGCUAGCACCAAACAAAAUAAUCCAAGUUCAUCUUCCUAAUUCAAAUAUUAGCAGUAAUCUUUAAAUCAUCCUUGAAGUGUAGUGUGUGAGAUAGCCAUGCUAAUGCAAUUUCAAGUUUUUAUUUUUAAAAUCAUCAUAUGCAAACUAGCGACCUUCUCACUGGAUAUGCACUCAAUCACAUGUGUUUAGUUUUAAUGUGUUUCGCUCAAAGAAUAAAAUGUGAAAGUUCUACCAUAAGCUUGCAUAAAGAUCACUUCUCCACAGUCAUAAUUGCAAAACUUAAAUCAAGAGGACUUUUAUUGGAUGUAAUGAGGCUUAGGGAUAGGGUUAUUGAAACGAAAGAAUAGGAAAACACAAGUUCCAAGCUACAUUGCAAGCAAUUCUUUUGUCUAGAUUUAUAAGAACUCAAGCUCUCCAACGAUUCUUCUGAAAUCUCCAACCACAACCUUAAACUGAAACUUUAAAAACUUUUAUUUUCUUUGUAUACAAUCUUUCUUUUUCUUUUUCUUUUUCUUUUUUUUUUUUUUUUUUUUUUUUUUUUUUUUUUUUUUUUUAAAUACAAACAUGAAAUACCCCCACACUUAUUCUUUUGCCAAACACCUUCACAGUACUUAACAAACGUUUCUCAUAAGACAAUCUCGCAUUACUCGCUUGGAAAAGGGUAAGGAAAAAUGUUUCAGGUAUAAGGGUAGACAUAUCUGGUGAUAAGAAACAAAAGGUUCAACAUAUACGGUUCAAAUUGGCAAUCUAAUGAUAUCAUUUUUCUUUGGGAAACAUGGUUAUUUGGGCCAUGGUGGUAAACCUAAUGCCUCUAUCAUUUCCAAGUUCAUGCAAUCAAUGACAAACAUUUCGAAAGAUCGUUACGCAAGUUCUAGAGAUGUAUCUCACAUAAGUUCAUCACACAUAAAAAAAAUAGGAGUGUAUGAAAAAUGCACACA